rnacentral:pre_miRNA from 1 species
UGAUAUGUCUGGUAUUCUUGGGUUGGGUCUUCGUCAACCAGUAUCUCAGACGUAUCAUC